UUCCCCAAAAUUUCAAAUGAAAUCCCACCUGAAAUCUUUCUUCUUUUUUCCCCGUUUUAUUUUUCCCAAACCAUUUCUCCUUUAUUUUUUGCCCCAAAUUUCCCCAAAUCGACAGCCCUCUGCAUCUCUGUUGGUCCCGCCCAUUUUCGCAGCCUCGACUUCGGUGAACGAAAUGACUACCUCAAAGGCGUCGUCACCGAUGUUAUCCAUGACCCAAGUCGCGGUGCGCCCUUAGCUCGCGUCGUGUUCCGUCAUCCAUUCCGUUACAAGAAGCAGAAGGAACUGUUUGUCAUCUUUUAUUUCUCUUUUAGUUAGAUUGAUGUCGAUGUGAAUGAGGGGGAUUUGAUUGUUACUAGCUUUUUGAGAUCGAAGUUGAAAUCAAUGUUGUGAACUUUUGUGGUUUGAUAGGUGAAGUACUGUUCAGAGAACAACAAGCGUCUGAUUCACUUCUCUACUUGUGAAGUGUAUGGAAAAACUAUUGGAAGCUUUCUUCCUAAAGAUUCUCCUCUCCGUCAGGAUCCUGCCUACUAUGUUCUUAAGGAAGAUACUUCCCCCUGCAUUUUUGGUUCAAUUGAGAAGCAGAGGUGGUCCUAUGCAUGUGCUAAGCAGUUGAUUGAGAGGCUCAUUUAUGGUUUGACAAGGAACUGAACAAAAAAUUUAGGGACCGCACGACUUGUGGUUGAUUUCGAUAGGUGGUGGACUGGUGAGGAAUCUGUGAAUGUUCUCUUAGAAGCCGCAGGCCAAGACAACCGUAUUUUCUUUUUCUAUUUCCCACACUUGGGUAUGAUAAUGGUAGCAGUGAAGUAGAGGUUCUCACACCGAAAAAGGUCCAAUCUACAUCUGAUGGAGCUGAUUCCACUCUUUCAAACCCCCUGUGUGAGGAGUCUGCUCAAAAUUCUUCAAAAUACUCUAACAGACAGAGGUUUGAUUGUGGCAUGUUUAUGUAUUCUAUAUAUCAACUUCUAUAGCAGAGGCUUAAGUCUUUGUUUUGAGCAGGAACACAUGCCUUAUGCCCUAUUUUCGUUUAGGGACCGCCAAGGAAAUUCUGAAACUGAAAGUUGAUUGAUCGGAUGUGUAUGCCGGCUUUCAUCAACUACUUUCGAAGGCCUUACUAGGAAUUGAAAUGGUGUGCAAAGAGAUUGCUUCUUUUGAUCUGAUUUUUCGAUAUAAAUACUAGACAAAGUAUGGAUAUUUUACUGUUGUUAGUAAAAUAGGAUUCUCUUCUUAGGAUCUUAGUUUCUUCACUUGUAUUAGACUCAACAAUGGCUUGCAUUGCAUUGGUGUUGAUUUUACCAAAAUUUCGAGGUUUACAAUUUUUAAUUUUUAUUAA